rnacentral:rRNA from 1 species
AGAUUGAACGCUGGCGGCAGGCCUAACACAUGCAAGUCGAGCGGCAGCACGGGUACUUGUACCUGGUGGCGAGCGGCGGACGGGUGAGUAAUGCCUAGGAAUCUGCCUGGUAGUGGGGGAUAACGCUCGGAAACGGACGCUAAUACCGCAUACGUCCUACGGGAGAAAGCAGGGGACCUUCGGGCCUUGCGCUAUCAGAUGAGCCUAGGUCGAUUAGCUAGUUGGUGAGGUAAUGGCUCACCAAGGCGACGAUCCGUAACUGGUCUGAGAGGAUGAUCAGUCACACUGGAACUGGGACACGGUCCAGACUCCUACGGGAGCAGCAGUGGGAAUAUUGGACAAUGGGCGAAAGCCUGAUCCAGCCAUGCCGCGUGUGUGAAGAAGGUCUUCGGAUUGUAAAGCUACUUUAAGUGGAGGAAGGCAGUUACCUAAGUACGUAAUCUUGUUUGACGUUACCGACAGAAUAAGCACGGCUAACUCUGUGCCAGCACG